AGAGAGAGACAUGCGCGCAUAUCAAUAAGCGGAGGAAAAGAAACUAACAAGGAUUCCCUUAGUAACGGCGAGUGAAGCGGGAAGAGCUCAAGUUUGAAAUCUUCAAGGUUUUACCUUGACGAAUUGUAGUUUAAAGAAGUGUUUUCUGCUGAAGUUUUGGUAAAAGUUCUUUGGAAUAGGACAUCAUAGAGGGUGAGAAUCCCGUAUUUGACCAUUAUUUUCAGCUUUGUGAUACACUUUCAAAGAGUCGGAUUGUUUGGGAAUGCAGUCCAAAAUGGGUGGUAAAUUUCAUCUAAAGCUAAAUAUUGGCGAGAGACCGAUAGCGAACAAGUACCGUGAGGGAAAGAUGAAAAGAACUUUGAAAAGAGAGUUAAACAGUACGUGAAAUUGUCAUAAGGGAAGCGUUUGACACCAGCGUUGUUUUCUCGAAAAUCAAUUAAAAAUGGCUCGAUUUUGUAUUGUUGAGACCUUAAAAGCUCACUGUACAUUUUUCGUGUCUUUUUUAAUGCACUUUUCGUUUAACAAGUCAACAUCAGUUUCUUUUGUUGUAAAAGGGUCAUUGGAGGGUGGCUUUCUUUUCGGAGAAAGUGUUUAUAGCCUUUGGCCUCUGCAAUCGGAGAGAUUGAGGUCUGCAGCGUAGACUCCUUCGGGGUUAGAUACAUUUGUGCUAAGUUAUAGCCUUUUCAUAGACAACUUGUUGACUAUAAUCAGUCAUGUAGCUUACUCGCUUAUGCUAUUUUACCUACGCUUAGGAUGUUGAAGAUGUAGCACAUCAU
rnacentral:rRNA from 1 species